rnacentral:rRNA from 1 species
GACGAACGCUGGCGGCGUGCUUAACACAUGCGAGUCGAACGGAAAGGCCCUGCUUUUGUGGGGUGCUCGAGUGGCGAACGGGUGAGUAACACGUGAGUAACCUGCCCUUGACUUUGGGAUAACUUCAGGAAACUGGGGCUAAUACCGGAUAGGAGCUCCUGCUGCAUGGUGGGGGUUGGAAAGUUUCGGCUGUUGGGGAUGGACUCGCGGCUUAUCAGCUUGUUGGGGGAGUAGUGGCUUACCAAGGCUUUGACGGGUAGCCGGCAUGGGAGGGUGACCGGCCACAAGAGGACUGAGGUAGGCCGCAGACGGCUACGGGAGGCAGCAGGGGAGAAUAUUGCACAAUGGGCCGAAGCCUGAGACAGCAGCGCCGGGUGCGGGAUGACGUCCUUCGGGUUGUGAACCGCUUUCGCCGGAGACGAAGCGUUCGUGACGGUAAUGGAUAAAGAAGCACCGGCUAACUACGUG